rnacentral:rRNA from 1 species
AUUGAACGCUGGCGGCAGGCUUAACACAUGCAAGUCGAGCGGAGUGAUGGUGCUUGCACUAUCACUUAGCGGCGGACGGGUGAGUAAUGCUUAGGAAUCUGCCUAUUAGUGGGGGACAACAUCUCGAAAGGGAUGCUAAUACCGCAUACGUCCUACGGGAGAAAGCAGGGGAUCACUUGUGACCUUGCGCUAAUAGAUGAGCCUAAGUCGGAUUAGCUAGUUGGUGGGGUAAAGGCCUACCAAGGCGACGAUCUGUAGCGGGUCUGAGAGGAUGAUCCGCCACACUGGGACUGGGACACGGCCCAGACUCCUACGGGAGGCAGCAGUGGGGAAUAUUGGACAAUGGGGGGGAACCCUGAUCCAGCCAUGCCGCGUGUGUGAAGAAGGCCUUAUGGUUGUAAAGCACUUUAAGCGAGGAGGAGGCUCUUUUGGUUAAUACCCAAGAUGAGUGGACGUUACUCGCAGAAUAAGCACCGGCUAACUCUGUGCCAGCCGCCGCAGUAA